rnacentral:rRNA from 1 species
ACAUGCAAGUCGAACGAAGUAGCAAUACUUAGUGGCAGACGGGUGAGUAACAUGUAGGUAUCUGCCCUUUGGCCUGGAAUAACACGAGGAAACUUGUGCUAAUACCGGAUAAGUCUUUACGGAGAAAGCUUUAUGCACCAUUGGAUGAGCCUGCACUUGAUUAGUUUGUUGGUGGGGUAAUGGCCUACCAAGACUGUGAUCAAUAGCUGAUUUGAGAGGAUGAUCAGCCACAUUGGGACUGAGACACGGCCCAAACUCCUACGGGAGGCAGCAGUGGGGAAUCUUGCACAAUGGAGGAAACUCUGAUGCAGCGAUGCCGCGUGAGUGAAGAAGGCCCUUGGGUUGUAAAGCUCUUUCGUCGGGGAAGAAAAUGACUGUACCCGAAUAAGAAG